GUUCUGAUGUUGUGCAGUUAUGUACAAUAGUAACGAGAAGAUGUUGUGCAGUUAUGUCUUGGAAAGUAAACAACUUUCUCCUCAUUAUGAGAAAAUAAAUAUUGUUUACAGUGCUGGAUCACUGAACUUCAACAAACCAUUUUUAUGUGAUCAUUGAUUCAGAAAAACAAAUGAGUUUGAAUGAAUAUUUUUCACUUCAAUUGAUC
rnacentral:sRNA from 1 species